CGCUCGCCGCCGCUGCCGACCCUCAACCGCCAGAGGAUGGGGGGGGGCUGGUUAAAGGGAGGAUGUGAGGGGGGUGAAGGAGGGAGGAAAUGUCACGCUCGGCGGGAGCGAGGGGACGGAGGGACAGCGAGCAACGCCGGCUGUCAAGCAGAGCAGUUGCCAAGUGAUCUUCUCCACAGCACCCACGAACUUUGGCCUUACACUGAAGAGGACUCAUCAAAUGGUGAGAACCUUAGUCCUGUGCAUGUGCUCAGCUGUGUUCACAGGAGGAUUUCUAUCAGCACCACCAGUCAGUGCAGCACAGCUUGGAUACGCAGAACUGUUGGAAAGACUGAAACUCAAAUAUGUAUUCCUGCUUUUCAAUGAAAUGCUACUGAAAUUAAUACAGGAGUGAGAGGUCUGGAAGUGCUUUAGCUAGCACUAAUUUGUUUGCUUUUAUGCUGUUCAAUUCAUUUCUUUUAAGACAGCAUGAUGUAAAUUGUUCAUUUGCUUCUCUAGUUUCCCAAUUUCUGGGAAAUUUUGAAAUCUGAGCUUCAAAACGUUUAUAAAAUGUUAGUAAUGCUCAUGAUUCUCAUAAAAGGAACAAAACGUUAUUGUGUUUAACCACUUUGUGAAAAGGGAACUGAAUCUAGAGAGGAACUAAUUCUAUCAGCGACUCCCUGCCUUAGUCAGGUCUUUAACCUUGUUCUAGCUCCUUACCAACACGUAGUAAUGAUUUUUACACGUGUGGGAUUAUUAAGCAUGCAUUUUAAAAAGAGAGAGUUUCCUUUUUUACAGCUGUAGGUGAAGGGUGGAAUAUUAGUAGCGGGAAAGGACAUGAGAAUGUAGGCGUUAAGCGCUGGUACUGGCUUCCUGGUAGUUUAGAGAGGUGACAGCUUAAAAUAACGGUGCAUACAAUGAUCCUCAGUUUAGGAGGCAGAUCACAAUGACCAGAAGUUCACAGGAUGCCGAGAGAUGUCCCUGAACUUUGCUGGUUCACUGUUUUGAUUUCAGUGGCUCAAUUUAUGUUUUCCUUUAGUAACCGUAUUGUAAAGUAAGGAGUAAAAGGGAAAGAAACCUACUAGAAGCUUACAAUCUCCACAUUUCCUCCUCCUUCUAUGAUCACUACCACAGAAAGACUGGAAUA
rnacentral:lncRNA from 1 species